rnacentral:rRNA from 1 species
AUUGAACGCUGGCGGCAGGCUUAACACAUGCAAGUCGAGCGGAGUGAUGGUGCUCGCACUAUCACUUAGCGGCGGACGGGUGAGUAAUGCUUGGGAAUCUGCCUAUUAGUGGGGGACAACAUCUCGAAAGGGAUGCUAAUACCGCAUACGUCCUACGGGAGAAAGCAGGGGAUCACUUGUGACCUUGCGCUAAUAGAUGAGCCUAAGUCGGAUUAGCUAGUUGGUGGGGUAAAGGCCUACCAAGGCGACGAUCUGUAGCGGGUCUGAGAGGAUGAUCCGCCACACUGGGACUGAGACACGGCCCAGACUCCUACGGGAGGCAGCAGUGGGGAAUAUUGGACAAUGGGGGGGACCCUGAUCCAGCCAUGCCGCGUGUGUGAAGAAGGCCUUAUGGUUGUAAAGCACUUUAAGCGAGGAGGAGGCUCUUUUGGUUAAUACCCAAGAUGAGUGGACGUUACUCGCAGAAUAAGCACCGGCUAACUCUGUGCCAGCCGCCGCAGUAA